UACGGAGGGUGCGAGCGUUGUCCGGAAUCAUUGGGCGUAAAGCGCACGUAGGCGGUCUUUUAAGUCUCAUGGUGAAAGGCUGGGGCUCAACCCCAUGCAUGCCGGGGAUACUGGGAGACUGGAGACAGGCAGAGGCCAGCGGAAUUCCGGGUGUAGCGGUGGAAUGCGUAGAGAUCCGGAAGAACACCGGAGGCGAAGGCGGCUGGCUGGGCCUGAUCUGACGCUGAGGUGCGAAAGCGUGGGGAGCGAACAGG
rnacentral:rRNA from 1 species